rnacentral:rRNA from 1 species
UAGCGAAGGGGGCUAGCGUUGCUCGGAAUCACUGGGCGUAAAGCGCACGUAGGCGGACUCUUAAGUCGGUGGUGAAAUCCUGGAGCUCAACUCCAGAACUGCCUUCGAUACUGAGAGUCUCAGAGUCCGGGAGAGGUGAGUGGAACUCCGAGUGUAGAGGUGAAAUUCGUAGAUAUUCGGAAGAACACCAGUGGCGAAGGCGGCUCACUGGCCCGGUACUGACGCUGAGGUGCGAAAGCGUGGGGAGCGAACAGG